CAAUAGCGUAUAUUAAAGUUGUUGCGGUUAAAAAGCUCGUAGUUGGAGUUCUGCCAGGUGACACUCGUCCGCCCAAGUGGUGUGUACAGGGUGUGCAUCUGGCCCUUUCAAGGGGAACGUGUCUGCACUUCAUUGUGUGGUGCGAGAUCCUUGACUUUUACUUUGAGGAAAUAAGAGUGUUCCAAGCAGGCUCUCGUCGUGCAUAGCUCAGCAUGGAAUAAUAGCAUUGGACUUUGUUUCUACGCUGUUGGUUGCAAGAAGCGAGGUAAUGAUGAAGAGGGAUAGUUGGGGGCAUUCGUAUUUAACUGUCAGAGGUGAAAUUCUUGGAUUUGUUAAAGACGGACUACUGCGAAGGCAUCUGCCAGGGAUGUUUUCAUUGA
rnacentral:rRNA from 1 species